GACUUACUAAGCUUUCUUAAAAUUUUAAACUUUAGGGAAGACAUAUAAGGAAUUUGCAUAAGUCAACUGUACAAAAUGGUGCUGGAGGGGCCUUAUUUGUGCACAGAGAUACUCCUGAGAAUAACCCAGAUACCCCAUUUGAUUUCACACCAGAAAACUAUAAGAGGAUAGAGGCAAUUGUUAAAAACUAUCCAGAAGGGCAUAAAGCAGCAGCUGUGCUUCCAGUUCUGGAUUUAGCACAAAGGCAAAAUGGGUGGUUGCCUAUCUCUGCUAUGAACAAGGUACUUAAUUCAUUUUUGCUUUAGAAAUGACAGAUUGUGUGUGAUAGAUAACUACCUAUCUAGAAAUCACUGAUAAUCAUUAAUGUCAGAACUCAGAAGUUUAGAGCCCCUUAGUCAUGUAUGCCUCUUUGAAUUAUAUUUAUGUUUUUGUUCGUUUCCUUAAUACAGCUUCUAUUCUUGUAGGA